rnacentral:rRNA from 1 species
UACGUAGGAUCCAAGCGUUAUCCGGAAUUACUGGGCGUAAAGCGUACGUAGGUGGAGAUUUAAGUGAGAUGCGAAAUCUGGCGGCUCAACCGUCUAGACUGUGUCUCAUACUGGGUUUCUUGAGGUUGGCAGAGGCAAGUGGAAUUUCCGGUGUAGCAGUGAAAUGCGUAGAGAUCGGAAGGAACACCAAUGGCGAAGGCAGCUUGCUGGGCCACACCUGACACUGAGGUACGAAAGGCGUGGGGAGCGAACAGG